rnacentral:rRNA from 1 species
AACACAUGCAAGACGAGCGAUUUACUUCGGUAAAGAGCGGCGGACGGGUGAGUAACGCGUGGGUAACCUGCCCUGUACACACGGAUAACAUACCGAAAGGUAUGCUAAUACGGGAUAAUAUGCUUUUAUCGCAUGGUAGAAGUAUCAAAGCUCCGGCGGUACAGGAUGGACCCGCGUCUGAUUAGCUAGUUGGUAAGGUAACGGCUUACCAAGGCGACGAUCAGUACCCGACCUGAGAGGGUGAUCGGCCACAUUGGAACUGAGACACGGUCCAAACUCCUACGGGAGGCAGCAGUGGGGAAUAUUGCACAAUGGGCGAAAGCCUGAUGCAGCAACGCCGCGUGAGCGAUGAAGGCCUUCGGGUCGUAAAGCUCUGUCCUCAAGGAAGAUAAUGACGGUACUUGAGGAGGAAGCCCCGGCUAACUACGUGCCAGCACCCGCGGUAAUACGUAGGGGGCUAGCGUUAUCCGGAAUUACUGGGCGUAAAGGGUGCGUAGGUGGUUUCUUAAGUCAGAGGUGAAAGGCUACGGCUCAACCGUAGUAAGCCUCUGAAACUGGGAAACUUGAGUGCAGGAGAGGAGAGUGGAAUUCCUAGUGUAGCGGUGAAAUGCGUAGAUAUUAGGAGGAACACCAGUUGCGAAGGCGGCUCUCUGGACUGUAACUGACACUGAGGCACGAAAGCGUGGGGAGCAAACCGGAUUAAUUCCCCUGGUUGUCCCCGCGUUAAACGAUGAUUCUAGCUGUCGGAGGUUACCCCCUUCGGUGGCGCAGCUACCCCUUAACUUUUCCGCCUGGGAAGUACGCUCGCAAGAGUGAAAACUCAAAGGAAAUUGACGGGGACCCGCCCAAGUAGCGGUGCAUGUGGUUUAUUCGAAGCAACGCGAAGAACCUUACCUAAGCUUGACAUCCUUUUGACCGAUGCCUAAUCGUAUCUUUCCCUUCGGGGACAGAAGUGACAGGUGGUGCAUGGUUGUCGUCAGCUCGUGUCGUGAGAUGUUGGGUUAAGUCCCGCAACGAGCGCAACCCUUGCCUUUAGUUGCCAGCAUUAAGUUGGGCACUCUAGAGGGACUGCCAGGGAUAACCUGGAGGAAGGUGGGGAUGACGUCAAAUCAUCAUGCCCCUUAUGCUUAGGGCUACACACGUGCUACAAUGGGUGGUACAGAGGGCAGCCAAGUCGUGAGGCGGAGCUAAUCCCUUAAAGCCAUUAUCAGUUCGGAUUGUAGGCUGAAACUCGCCUACAUGAAGCUGGAGUUACUAGUAAUCGCAGAUCAGAAUGCUGCGGUGAAUGCGUUCCCGGGUCUUGCACACAGCGCCCGUCAAGGGCGAAUU